CCGCUUGACAAAAAAGGAAGAGGAGGCUAUAACUAGCCUCCUCCGGGAGACCUGAAAAAAGCAAAGCAGGGAAAGCGGGGAGGGGUUGACAGGGAUGAUCGGGAAGUGUAGGAUCAAACGGUUGACNCUUUCGGGGGAGAAAAAAAGCCCUGAAGAGAAAGACGCCCUGUGGAAACGCAGGGAGAGCGUCUCGGAUCAUUGACAACUAAAUAGGAGCAGCAACGUCCAAUUAAAGGGCCCUGAUCACGAAACACAGGAACAAAAUGAAUCUGGAGAGUUUGAUCCUGGCUCAGAACGAACGCUGGCGGCGUGCCUAACACAUGCAAGUCCAACGUGAAAGGGGAGCAAUCCCCCGGUAGGGUGGCAAACGGGUGAGUAAUACAUGGGUGAUCUACCUU
rnacentral:rRNA from 1 species